rnacentral:tRNA from 1 species
GCGGGUGUGGCGGAAUUGGUAGACGCGCCAGAUUUAGGUUCUGGUGACCUACGGUCGUGGGGGUUCGAGUCCCUUCACCCGCACCA